ACCCAGUGCAGGGUUAAUAGCUGCUGUACCCAGUACAGGGGUAAUAGCUGCUGUACCCAGUGCAGGGGUAAUAGCUGCUGUACCCAGUGCAUGGGGUAAUAGCGGCUGUACCCAGUGCAGGGUUAAUAGCUGCUGUACCCAGUGCAGGGGGGAUAGCGGCUGUAUCCAGUGCAGGGUUAAUAGCUGCUGUACCCAGUGCCGGGGUAAUAGCGGCUAUACCCAGUGCAGGGGGAUAGCGGCUGA